CACAAGUUGCCCUGUUCAGCCUUUGCCCCCAGUGAGAUUGCCACUGCAGGCUCGGCCAGGCUUUGUGUAUGGGGAGUGAGUAUCCAAAUUGGCAGGAGAAAUGCAUGUGAGGGGAUCUCUUCAGGAGUGGAAAGAGGACAAUGCAGGUUAAGUACCACAGAGUGGGGAACAGAGACAAGUAUCACAGGUAUAGUGGGACUUCAUACCCCAACUUCCUGCCACCUGUCUGAUGUGUGUUUUAGAGGAUAUUUGGAUUUCAGUGAGCUGGGAUCUAUUUCUUACUCUACCCCUCGUUGGCUGUGUGAUCUUGGACAGGUCAACCGUCUGUUAGCCAAGGGAACUUGAUCAGAAAAUCUUCAGUAAGACAUAAUUUCCCCAAACAGAUCAAUGGGCCAAAUGGGCCAUAGUCUGCCUUCCCCAACUCCAUGCACAGGAAACCAUGAGGCAGAGUUCUCUCCUGGUCUGUCCCUAAAGUUCUACGUGGGUCUCCUUACCCCAAAUGAGGAGGUUGGCCACUCUCUGCGUUCCCCAAGCUGUGCUUCUUGGAUCAGAAGUUCUGUGAGGCCCACAAUAGAGGAGACACUGGCCUAGAUAGGUUUCUUUACUGCAGGACCCCUCAGGGUGUUUAGUAUGUGGGUAUGUCUCAUGAAGUCCCUAUGGGAGAUACAGGAUGAUACAGGAGAUACUCGGGCUUUGAUGAUGGAACUUUUUCUUUCCCUAACACCAACUGAUAUUUUGUGCCACUAUUCACCACUCAGCACAAUUUGGGAAAUCCCCUAUAGUUUCCCUUAAGCCUCAGUUUCCUUCCCUGUAGAACAGGUACCUGCCUCCUAGACGUGGUGGAAAGGUUAAAUCAGGUAAAGUCUGGAAACAGGCCUGGAGCAGCGCCUGGCACAGAGUAAGUGCUCAAUAAAUGCUGGUAGCGCUUAUUUAUAACACGAUCCUUUCCUUUCCAGCUCUGACAUUCUGGGCUUCCAACUGCAGUGUGUAAUUAAACUCCAGAGCAUCUGGCUUCCCAAGUUGAAAGAACAAGCUUGGAGGAAUGAAAAAGGAAGAGAAAGAUCCUUCUGGGUUGCCCAUUUGUGCAUCAGCCUCAUUGCCAGCUGUCACGCCAGGGGGAUGCAGCAAGAUGCAGCCCCUGACAGCAGGGCUCAGGCCAGCAGGUGCGUCCCAGCAGGGUUCAGACACUGCGGGGAGUAUUUGAGACUGUGGAGGGGUGAGAGGUCAAGUCAGUACUGCUUUAUGGUUACUGUGAUUUGGAUAUGGUCUGAGUGUCCCUAAAGGUCCACGUUUUAAAGGUUUGAUCUCAGUGUGGUGGUGCUGGGAGGUGUUUGAACCUUUAAGAGGUGGGGCCUAGUGGGGGUCCUUGGGCUAGUGAGGGCUUACCCUCAGAAGGUAUUAACAGUUCCGUGAGAUGGUGGCAGUCCACCUGAUCUUGAAUUUUAAACCUCCAACACUAGGAGCUAAAUAAAUUUAUUUACUUAUAAGUUAACCUGCCUCACGUAUUUCAUUAUAGUAACACAAAGCUGCCUGAUACAAUGGUCAAACAAUAGAACCUGUC
rnacentral:lncRNA from 1 species